rnacentral:rRNA from 1 species
ACUUAAAGGAAUUGGCGGGGGAGCACCACAAGGGGUGAAGCUUGCGGUUUAAUUGGAGUCAACGCCGGAAAUCUCACCGGGAGCGACAGCAGUGUGAAAGCCAGAUUAAAGGUCUUGCUAGACGAGCUGAGAGGAGGUGCAUGGCCGUCGCCAGUUCGUGCCGUGAGGUGUCCUGUUAAGUCAGGCAACGAUCGAGACCCGCGUCCUCUGUUGCAACCAGUUUUGUGCUGGGCACACUGAGGAGACCGCCACUGAUAAAGUGGAGGAAGGAGCGGGCCACGGCAGGUCAGUAUGCCCCGAAUCUCCCGGGCCACACGCGAGCUGCAAUGGCAGGUACAAUGGGUUCCGACCUCGAAAGGGGGAGGCAAUCUCGAAAGCCUGCCGUAGUUGGA